AAAUUGAAGAGUUUGAUCAUGGCUCAGAUUGAACGCUGGCGGCAGGCCUAACACAUGCAAGUCGAACGGUAACAGGAAGCAGCUUGCUGCUUCGCUGACGAGUGGCGGACGGGUGAGUAAUGUCUGGGAAACUGCCUGAUGGAGGGGGAUAACUACUGGAAACGGUGGCUAAUACCGCAUAACGUCGCAAGACCAAAGAGGGGGACCUUCGGGCCUCUUGCCAUCAGAUGUGCCCAGAUGGGAUUAGCUUGUUGGUGAGGUAACGGCUCACCAAGGCGACGAUCCCUAGCUGGUCUGAGAGGAUGACCAGCCACACUGGAACUGAGACACGGUCCAGACUCCUACGGGAGGCAGCAGUGGGGAAUAUUGCACAAUGGGCGCAAGCCUGAUGCAGCCAUGCCGCGUGUAUGAAGAAGGCCUUCGGGUUGUAAAGUACUUUCAGCGGGGAGGAAGGUGUUGCGGUUAAUAACCGCAGCAAUUGACG
rnacentral:rRNA from 1 species